rnacentral:rRNA from 1 species
UAGGGAAUCUUCCGCAAUGGACGAAAGUCUGACGGAGCAACGCCGCGUGAGUGAAGAAGGAUUUCGGCUCGUAAAACUCUGUUGUUAGGGAAGAAAAAAUGUAUAGUAACUAUAUACAAAAGAGACGGUACCUAACCAGAAAGCCACGGCUAACUACGUGUCAGCAGCCGCGGUAAUACGUAGGUGGCAAGCGUUGUCCGGAAUUAUUGGGCGUAAAGCGCGCGCAGGUGGGUUAGAAAGUCUGAUGUGAAAGCCCACGGCUCAACCGUGGAGGGUCAUUGGAAACUGAUAAACUUGAGUGCAGGAGGGAAAAGUGGAAUUCCUAGUGUAGCGGUGAAAUGCGUAGAGAUUAGGAGGAACACCGGUGGCGAAAGCGGCUUUUUGGCCUGCAACUGACACUGAGGCGCGAAAGCGUGGGGAGCAAACAGG